rnacentral:rRNA from 5 species
GACCUGCGGAAGGAUCAUU